rnacentral:siRNA from 1 species
GCACAGCAACUGAGUGAGUGGUC